CCGAGUUUUACAACUCCCAAACCCCUGUGAACAUACCACUUGUUGCCUCGGCGGAUCAGCCCGCUCCCGGUAAAACGGGACGGCCCGCCAGAGGACCCCUAAACUCUGUUUCUAUAUGUAACUUCUGAGUAAAACCAUAAAUAAAUCA
rnacentral:misc_RNA from 1 species